rnacentral:rRNA from 1 species
UACGAAGGGGGCUAGCGUUGCUCGGCAUCACUGGGCGUAAAGCGCACGUAGGCGGCUCGUUAAGUCAGGGGUGAAAUCCUGGAGCUCAACUCCAGAACUGCCUUUGAUACUGGCGAGCUUGAGUUCGGGAGAGGUGAGUGGAACUGCGAGUGUAGAGGUGAAAUUCGUAGAUAUUCGCAAGAACACCAGUGGCGAAGGCGGCUCACUGGCCCGAUACUGACGCUGAGGUGCGAAAGCGUGGGGAGCAAACAGG